CGAAGCGGAGUGAUCUAGCCAUGGGCAGGUUGAAGCGGAGGUAAGACUUCGUGGAGGACCGAACCCACCAGGGUUGAAAACCUGGGGGAUGACCUGUGGUUAGGGGUGAAAGGCCAAUCAAACUCCGUGAUAGCUGGUUCUCCCCGAAAUGCAUUUAGGUGCAGCGUCGUGUGUUUCUUGCCGGAGGUAGAGCACUGGAUAGGCGAUGGGCCCUACCGGGUUACUGACCUUAGCCAAACUCCGAAUGCCGGUAAGUGAGAGCGCGGCAGUGAGACUGUGGGGGAUAAGCUCCAUGGUCGAGAGGGAAACAGCCCAGAGCAUCGACUAAGGCCCCUAAGCGUACGCUAAGUGGGAAAGGAUGUGGAGUCGCACAGACAACCAGGAGGUUGGCUUAGAAGCAGCCACCCUUGAAAGAGUGCGUAAUAGCUCACUGGUCUAGUGAUUCCGCGCCGACAAUGUAGCGGGGCUCAAGCGUACCGCC
rnacentral:rRNA from 1 species